CACGUAGGGCGCAAGCGUUGUCCGGAAUUAUUGGGCGUAAAGAGCUCGUAGGCGGUCUGUUGCGUCCGCUGUGAAAACUCGGGGCUUAACCCCGAGCCUGCAGUGGAUACGGGCGGACUAGAGGUAGGUAGGGGAGAAUGGAAUUCCCGGUGUAGCGGUGAAAUGCGCAGAUAUCAGGAGGAACACCAAUGGCGAAGGCAGCUCGCUGGGACGGUACUGACGCUGAGACGCGAAAGCGUGGGGAGCAAACAGG
rnacentral:rRNA from 1 species